rnacentral:lncRNA from 1 species
UUUUUCUUAUUUUAUCAUUCUCGGUUAUUUUUAUUGCAUUUUUAUAAUUUUUCAUUAACUUUUUCUCCUUUCAAAUUUUUCUUCUUUUUUUUAUGUGCUUUCAUUUUUUUUUGUUCACUUUUUUCUUUGUUUUAAAAUUUUCUAUAAAUUUUUUUUCUUUUUGUUUUAUUUCAUAUUUUUGCCUCUUCAUUUUUUAUUUUUUUCUUCUUUUUCUCAUUUUUUUCUCAAAUUUUAUUUUAUAUAUUUUGUAUUUUCAUUUUUUAUUUUUUUCUUGCUUUUUCUUAAAUCUUUUUGUUUGCACUUUUUUUUAUUUCUUCUUUAUAAUUUUAAAACCUCAAACUUCUUUUUUUGUGCACAUUCUUUUAUUUUUAUUUAUAUUUUUUAUUAACUUUUAUUUUAU